GAGGAGGAUCCACCCAGACAUCACUGAAAAUUAAGCAAAGACGUGCCUAUAAAAGAACAUUCAAGGAUGUUAAUCCAGCCGGUAUUAGACGGACUCACAGCUCUGGCCCUGAAAAAAAGAGGAGACGAGUGACAAAAAACAUUACGAGAGAUAGGGGAGACAAGGCGGUGCAGGUUUCAGAGGAACCCAGACACACAGGACACCCUCUUCACCAUGUGAUGAAGACCUGGAUGAAAAGGACUCCUAGAGUGUGUUUGUCACAGAAAUGGGGAGAAAGUGGACUAAACAAGAACAGCAGCCGGCUCAAUGUCACUUCACACCUUUUCAAUGAAGAGAGCGAAGUGGACGGAGAAACCAG